GACGAACGCUGGCGGCGUGCUUAACACAUGCAAGUCGAACGGAAAGGCUCUGCUUUUGUGGCGUUCUCGAGGGGCGAACGGGUGAGUAACACGUGAGUAACCUGCUCUUGACUUUGGGAUAACUUCAGGAAACUGGGGCUAAUACCGGAUAGGAGCUUCUGCUGCUUGUUGGGGGUUGGAAAGUUUCGGCGGUUGGGGAUGGACUCGCAGCUUAUCAGCUUGUUGGUGGGGUAGUGGCUUACCAAGGCUUUGACGGUUAGCCGGCCUGAGAGGGUUACCGGCCACAUUGGGCCUGAGAUACGGCCCAGACUCCUACGGGAGGCAGCAGUGGGGAAUAUUGCACAAUGGGCGGAAGCCUGAUGCAGCAACGCCGCGUGCGGGAUGACGGCCUUCGGGUUGUAAACCGCUUUCGCCUGUGACGAAGCGUGAGUGACGGUAAUGGGUAAAGAAGCACCGGCUAACUCCGUG
rnacentral:rRNA from 1 species